UACGGGGGGGGCAAGCGUUGUUCGGAAUUACUGGGCGUAAAGGGUCUGUAGGUGGCUUGCUAAGUCAGACGUGAAAUCCCUCAGCCUAACUGGGGAACUGCGUCUGAGACUGGCGAGCUUGAGGGCAGGAGAGGAACGCGGAAUUCCAGGUGUAGCGGUGAAAUGCGUAGAUAUCUGGAGGAACACCGGUGGCGAAGGCGGCGUUCUGGACUGCAUCUGACACUGAAAGACGAAAGCCAGGGGAGCAAACGGG
rnacentral:rRNA from 1 species